rnacentral:rRNA from 1 species
CAGCUGGUGGAUAGCUCGGCUCGAGAGCCGAUGACGGACGUGCCAAGCUGCGAUAAGCUGUGGGGAUCCGCACGGAGGGAAGAACCACAGAUCUCCGAAUGGGAAUCCCCACGCAAUUGCCUCGCGCAAUGGGGAACGUUCCGAAUUGAAACAUCUUAGUAGGAACAGGAAAAGAAAGCAAUCCGCGAUGUCGUUAGUAACGGCGAGUGAACGCGAUACAGUCCAAACCGAAGCCUUCGGGCAAUGUGGUGUACGGACUACCCAUAACGGACCUGGAUCUUAUGUGAAGUCUCCUGGAACGGAGCGUGAUACAGGGUGAAAACCCCGUAACAUAAGAACCAGAUCCCGGGGUUGUUCCAGAAUAGCGGGGGUUGGAUAUCCCUCGUGAAUUUCGCAGGCAUCAACUGCGAAGACUAAACACUCCUCGAGACCGAUAGCGAACAAGUAGCGUGAGCGAACGCUGAAAAGCACCCCGAACAGGGCGGUGCAAUAGGGCUUGAAAUCAGUUGGCGAUAGAGCGACGUGGCAUACAAGGUCACUCGACGAAUGAACUGGGAGCGAUCCCGUAGUAAGACUCGAGUGAAGCCGAUGUUACGUCGUGCGUUUUGAAAAACGAACCAUGGAGUGUGUCUGACUGGCGAGUCUAAGGGGGGAACCCCCGGAGGCAUAGGGAAACCGAUACGGCCGCAGUCUUUGACCAGGGCCACCGUCUUCAAGGGCGGGGAGCCAACCGGACACGACCCGAAACCAAGUGAUCUACGCCGGAGCAGGGCGAAGCGUGGCGAAAGCUGCGUGGAGGCCCGUUAGAGUUGGUGUCCUACGAACCUCUCGAACAACUCGGCGUCGCGGGAGGUCGAGGGCACGCCCGAGCGAAGCAUGACCUCCGCUCGGUCACAGGACCGAGCGACACCUCGUCGCGGUUGAGGUCGAUGCGACGAUAUCGCGCGUCUGGGCCUUGUCGAAGGCGCGGCCGCUGGGCGUCCAGAGCUUCAGGCCGUUGUCGGCGGCGGGGUUGUGGGACGCGGGGUAUGCCUGUGCCGGCGGGGAACAACUCCGGGAUUGUAAUUGAAAGUGCAUGGAUUAAGUGUAAUCCUCUGAAGGUGGUCUCGAGCCCUAGACAGCCGGGAGGUGAGCUUAGAAGCAGCUACCCUCUAAGAAUAGCGUAACAGCUUACCGGCCGAGGUUCGAGGCGUCGAAAAUGAUCGGGACUCAAAUCCACCUCCGAGACCUGGCGGCGUGUCACACGACACGAUUCCGUAGGUUGGCAUACUGCAUGGGUGGAAGCACGGGUGAGAACUCGUGUGGACCGUGCAGCAACGAAAAUCAUGGUCUCAGUAGCAGCGAGAGUCGGGUGUGAACCCCGACGGCCUUACGCGCAAGGGUUCCUCGGCACUGUCAAUCAGCCGAGGGUUAGUCGAUCCUAAGUCUCACCGCAACUCGACUGAGACGAAAUGGGAAACAGGUUAAUAUUCCUGUGCCAUCAUGCAGUGAAAGUUGACGCCCUGGGGUCGAUCACGCCGGGCAUUCGCCCGGUCGAACCGUCCAACUCCGUGGAAGCCGUAAUGGCAGGAAGCGGACGAACGGCGGCAUAGGGAAACGUGAUUCAACCUGGGGCCCAUGAAAAGCGCUCAAAUGUCCGCACGAGAACCGACACAGGGCCCGAGCCCUCGCGGAACAGGACGAGGCGCGCGGCGAGCAACCAACGUUAGGGAACGGACUCGGAUUAUUCCAUUGCGGGCAUUACGGCGGCGGGAGGUAAAGACCUUGCCGUUUUGGCGACGGAAGGACUGCAGGGACCCCGUGUUCGCUGUCUAGUGACCGCAAGGACUCGUACCACCACAACUCCAAAAAGAACCGGACAAGUGUGCACGUUCUUAUAAUGGAUUCUAUCUACCUGUACAAGGCCUACAAGAGGACGAAGCGGUAGACUUACAGCUGUUUUCUCCGCCUCCGGUAGAGGGUUGCAUGAAUGGAUUAACCAGAGCUUCACUGUCCCAACGUUGGGCCCGGUGAACUGUACAUUCCAGUGCGGAGUCUGGAGACACCCAGGGGGAAGCGAAGACCCUAUGGAGCUUUACUGCAGGCUGUCGCUGAGACGUGGUCGCCGAUGUGCAGCAUAGGUAGGAGUCGUUACAGAGGUACCCGCGCUACGAGUUCCCCAAGACGCAGCCGGGCAAAAUCAUCCGCCGCGCCAUCGCCUCCUUCUACGCGGGCGAGGACCUCGGCGACAUGAGCAGUAUCGAGAAUCCCGAGGCGCUCGAAAAGAUAGAAAACGCGUCCUGAAGCGGUUUUUCCGCCGUGAUAAAGAAGCUGGACUGUUAGUUGCAAGACUUGAGAAGGCGUACUAAAUUGACUAUACCUGUCCAAGGAUGUCGCUGUCCGAGAAACAGCGUCUCGUAGAGACUUAGGCUGAACGUAUCGAGCGCGUAGUAUGACAGAAAAGCUACCUUAGGGAUAACAGAGUCGUCACCGGCAAGAGCACAUAUCGACCCGGUGGCUUGCUACCUCGAUGUCGGUUCCCUCCAUCCUGCCUGUGCAGAAGCAGGCAAGGGUGAGGUUGUUCGCCUAUUAAAGGAGGUCGUGAGCUGGGUUUAGACCGUCGUGAGACAGGUCGGCUGCUAUCUAUUGGGUGUGUUAAGGAACUUGACGUGAACGUUCGUAUAGUACGAGAGGAACUACGAAUGGGUGCCACUGGUGUACCGGUUGUCCGAGAGGGCAGAUGCCGGGCAGCUACGCACCACGGGGUAAGAGCUGAACGCAUCUAAGCUCGAAACCCACACGGAAAAGAAGUUCCACUGAGGUCACUCGUAGAAGACGAGUUCGAUAGACUCGGGGUGUGCGCAACGAGGCAACGAGUUG